rnacentral:rRNA from 1 species
AUGUGCAUAGAGGAACGGAUAGAGGAGGCGGUGGUGGAAACGGAUUGCCUGACCAAAGCCUUCCAAAUCACUUACCUCGGGCUCUCUCUAUCUGAUGCAAGAUUACGGAGAGAAGAUUUGCAUCCAAUUAUUGACUGCCUUGCGAAGCGACUGAGGGGAUGGAAGGCCAAGCUAAUUGCAUUGCUGGGCAGAAUUGAGUUGGUCAAGACAGUGCUAACAACCAUGGCUAUCUACUGGAUCAUGGCAAUCACGCCACCAGCUUGGUUCCUUAAAAUGAUUGAUAAGCUGCGACGUGGAUUCCUAUGGGUGGCAGACGAGUCUUCUCCGGGCGGUAAGUGCCUCGUUAGCUGGAAGAAGGUCUGCAGACCGCGAAAAUUUGGCAGCCUGGGAGUGCAUGAUCUGCAGCGCCAAGGAGCUGCGCUCCGUGCUCGAUGGCACUUGACUAGCUGGAUGGAUGACUGCAUGCCAUGGCGAGAACUAGUUCUGCCUCACAAUCCGGCAGCCGUGGGUAUAUUCAGAGCAUCGACGAAAAUAAUCAUCGGCAAUGGGAGGAGGACUAGUUUCUGGCGCUCACACUGGGCGCAGGGAUGCCGGCCGGCAGACCGGUGGCCGGAGCUCUUUGCGCACUGCAACGGGCGCCGGCUUGCGCUCCGGACGGCGCUUGAAGGCAAUGCAUGGCUCAGAUAUGUGAAGCAAAACCCCAACGCCACAGUGCUGCACCAACUCUGUGAGCUUUGGGAGGUGGCUUCAAGAAUCCUACGCGGGGAGGGAACACCGGACAUCCUUCACUGGAAGUGGACCUCUGAUGGCAAGUACACGACGGCCUCGGCAUAUCACUAG